UCUCCCGUGAGGGAGCAGUCUCGCCAGACACUUGUAACUGGCAAUAGGGGUUGCGUUCGUUACCCCACUUAAGGGAACAAUUCAAACCACGAACUGACGACGGCCAUGCAUCACCUGUCCUACUGCCCGAAGGCCCCACACCUUUCGGCGUGAGUUCAGUAGGAUUUCUAAUCUUGGUAAGGUUCUUCGUUUAGCGACGAAUUAAGCCACAUGAUCCACCGCUUGUGCAAGCCCCCGUCUAUUCCUUUGAGUUUUAAUCUUGCGAUCGUACUACCCAGGCGGUCCGCUUAACGCGUUAGCUUCGUCCCCGAGAGGGUCGAUACUCCCAAGAACCAGCGGACAGUGUUUAGGGCGUGGACUAC
rnacentral:misc_RNA from 1 species